AUUGAACGCUGGCGGCGGGCCUAAUACAUGCAAGUCGAGCGGAGCGGCGGACGGGUGAGUAAUGCCUAGGAAUCUGCCUGGUAGUGGGGGAUAACGUACGGAGACGGGCGCUAAUACCGCAUACUAUCAGAUGAGCCUAGGUUGGAUUUGCUAGUUGGUGGGGUAAUGGCUUACCAAGGCGACGAUCCGUAACUGGUCCGAGAGGAUGAUCAGUCACACUGGAACUUAGACACGGUCAAGACUCCUACGGGAGGCAGCAGUGGGGAAUAUUGGACAAUGGGCGAAAGCCUGAUCCAGCCAUGCCGCGUGAGUGAAGAAGGUCUUCGGAUUGUAAAGCACUUUAAGUUGAGAGGCGUUACCAACAGAAUAAGCCCCGGCUAACUUCGUGCCAGCAGCCGCGGUAAUUC
rnacentral:rRNA from 1 species